ACUCCCGAGACCGUGUCCGCGGCUGCCUGUGAGGUGAACGGGUGCGCGCGCGUGCGGGGACAGAAACUCCGGGGGAAGUUCGGCAGCAACGCCGGGGUGCGGCGGGAAGCCUCGGGGGAAGCCUUCGGUGUGGCUUCAGGGAUUGAGUCGUGCAACGCGCGUUGCGAAACGCCGAGGCCGGAGACCCGAAGGGCAAGGCUGCUUCCGAGCUCACCCUGGACUGCGGCGGCAGAAAAUUCGAUUCCCCGCACUGAGGGAUUAAGCAGAUGAGGAGUCGGGGGACAUAGAAGCCUUGAGAGACGGAAUCAGCGAGUUCGAAAUAUUCGAAGGAAAAAAAAAAAACUUCAGUGGUUUAAGAGCUUCACUAACACACUUUAAAAAAAGGAAUCAAAAUUAUUCUUAUUUAAGAGUGUUGGAGAUCCGAAUACAAGUCCCCUCCAGGCGAGAAGGCCUCUGGCUCGUUCUACGCGUCUUUAAUGCUUAAUAGAGAUGCUGGGAUUCCUGUUCCCUCACCAAACAGGAGUCUUACGCCAGCUCUGCGAUUUUUAAAAUUAUUUAUUUAUUUAUUUAUUUAUUUAUUUAUUUAUUUAUUUAUUUAUUUACGCAAAGGCUACUUUUGUGUUAAAGCCUCACAAUUCUGUCCCUUUGCAUCAUGGUGCACGGAAGAAAGAACAGGUGCCUUUCUCAGGACCUGAGUGAGGGCGACAAAUGCCUCACGCCCUUGGCCUGGGCCCACGUGGUUUUCAGGGGCAGAGCUGCUUGGUCUGGGGGAGGUUGGGGACUCUCUGGGUGCUCUAACCUCACCGAGGCUAGGUUCGAGGGCUGCCCUGUCUACCAGCCCAGGGUCACGCUCUCAUCUUCAGGGUCGCGGGGUCUGGUGGGGAAGCCGGCCACGCAAAGAGAGACAGAGCCUACCCUCCUGUGUUGGAAAAGGCACCCGUCUUGGCCUCCUUGGCGGCCAAAAGAUGAGAAAAACCCAGGCUGGUCCGAACGGUUUAAUAAACAAUUGGUGUAUCA